GGAGAUCUUUGCAUUAAGUGGAAUACGUAAGAGUCAGAAGUACAAGCACUGCAUGACCUUCAUGGGGAAUCUUAAACAUCUGCCCUCACAAAAGUUAAGGGGCAAGCGAGAUGGCACUUCAGGAAAAGGUUGCCGAACCUGACAACAGUUCAGUCUAGAACCCACUUAAUGCAGAGAACUAACUCCACCAAAUUGUCCUCUGACUUCCACAUGUGCCCUGUGUGUUUUGCACUGGGCCUGCUGGUGCAAUUCAAGAAGUUUAAGCUUGUAUCAGUGUUAUGAUACACAGUAAAGUAACCCCAGCAUGUUGGAGACCUAGUCAGGUGACUGUGAGUUCAAGCUCAACGUGGACUACAUGGAUACAUAAGUUCUCUCCAGCAUGAAGCAGACAGUCAAGGCAACACAGCCAUUACAAUGAGGCCUGCAGAGAGCAACAGAGGAGAGUGGCUGCAAUUCAAGUAAAGAUAAAAGGUCGUCAUUCGAGGAAGCCUAUGGUCUGUAGUGCCGAUAGUUCCAUAGUAGGCAUAGGAUGAGACACAGAAAUAGAACAGUCACAAUCCUUCAACUGUCUAGAAGUCAGUCGCUCUCUGGCUGCUGGAGCUUUCAAAGGGGGAAGCAACUUUUGACUGCUGGAUCUACAUGUUGACAGUAAUAUCCUGGAAGUCUCUUCUGUUCACUUUGCUUUUUAGUGAGACCUUUUAGCAUGUUUCAUUUUCAUGCAAAACAGGAAAUCCUGUUCAUGUUCUAAUUUCCCCCUGUUGACAUUUGGAUUUUCCACAGUCCCUUUUUAGAUGCCCUAGUCUGUCACAAUAUAGCAAACUCUUUUUACUGUGUUCAGAUCAUGAGGGCACUUUUUCUCCUUAAAGAAUCUUGUCUAGUCAGAAGGCUUGGUCUUAGGUAAGGUUUCUAUUUCUGUGAUAAAACACCACGCAAAAGCAACUUGAACAAGAGAGGGUUUAUUUCGGCUUACAGUUUGACAACACAGUCCCUCACUGAGAGAAAUCAUGGUAGGAAUUCAAAUAGAUAGGAACUGGGAGGCAGAUGUUGAAGCAAAGGAGAUGGAGGAAUGCUGCUCAUGGGCUUAUUCCUAUUGCUUUCUCAGACCAUGCAGGACCACCCACCCAAGCACUGCCCCUCCCCCAUCAAGAAAAUGCCCACAGGGUGCCCACAGGCCAUCUGGUGGGAACAUUUUUCCAUCCUUCCAAAAUGACUCUAGCCUGUGUUAGCUUGACAUUAAAACUAACUAGCAGAGCUGAUAAAGCUGAAAAUUCAUUUUUUAAAAGGACUUGUCAGGUUUUCUUCCUGGAAAGUCCUUGAGAGAUAUGUAGUAGUGGGUCAUGAGGAGUAGUCACCCAAUUAGAAUGACUGCUUUCAUCUUCUUUUCCUCAUCCCUUCCCCUCUUCUUCGUCUGUGUGUG